rnacentral:lncRNA from 1 species
CUGUUGGUAUUUGGGGGGGCCAAAAAAGUAAAGAGAGGGAUGGCGUUUCUCUUGCUUUUGGUGUAACAGCCCCCAGUGGAGGCUUGCAUCAUGGUCCAUAAUUAAAUCAGUGGUAGAGCGCGCCUCUGAUAAUUGUAUCAUUGUGUCUGGGCUGUGAGGGUUCUCAGCCGUGAAUAGUUCAACGUCUAUCAGUAUCGAUUUUCUCAUAAAUUUGAGUCUGUUGUUUUUAAAUUAUCAAAGAGAAUUACAUAUCAGUUCUGUGAUUUAAUCUAGUGUAAUUCUUUUCCUUUUACUUUGUAAUUACCACGUUGUCAUACGUUGAUGAGGAAACAUCUGGACAUGAUCGUGCAUGAAUAUAAAUCGGACCAGAUUAUCAGGAAUUGAUAUUUAUAUAUUGAUUUUGUGCUUAAAUGGAAGGAGGAAAGGCAAUUUG